UGUGCGACUAAUUGUCUGUCGAUUCUGAAAGGAGGCCGGCCGCCAGCAGCUCAUCGCUCACACAGGACGGGGCUGAUUACUCCGCUACUGUAUUCUGGGUCCUGCAUCUAAAUAUAGAAGCUGCGGCGGGGAAGCGCUGUGCUGCCGGGGAGGGCGGGGACGAAGGCACGCAGUCAUCAUUGAUUUAUCAGCAGAGGCCAAACAGCGUUUCAACAUCCACGCCGCGCGCGCUUCGUGUUCACACCAUCUGCACACGUCGGCAAAGUGACGUAGUUUCACAGGAUCUGAAUCCAUUCCGUUCCAUUCCAGGCUCACAUGGCGCUGCCGCCACGUUUUCGAAAGGUCGAACCCGAGUGUUCUGGAACAGAGAUUUGAAGUACUGACAGCGGACGCCGCUGCGGCCUGAGAGCGGCACUCCGGCCUCGGAGAGGCAUGGUUCCCACAGGCCGUCAGAGGCGGCACGAGCUCGGGCUGUCGCCAGGCGGGUUUGGCGUGGAACGCACACGUCAUGACACGCGGGCCUUCGGCGUUGAGGAGUAUCAAACUCCAGGAGCAUCGGAGCGAUCGCCAUGAACGCGCUGCUGGUCGACGCGUCUCGACUGUCUCAAGGUCCCGUACUGCCUGGUGGACCUCCGGGACAGAGAAGACGCAUCGUGGCAGUGGAGGAGUGAGGAGGACCUGGAGGAUGUAAAUGAACGAUUUACAUCCUCCUCACUUUGUUUUAUCUCCCAGCAGAUUUAUGAAAUCUGAAUUAAAAGAAUUGUUCUAUAAGGACAAAGAAGCUCGUCUAUUACGAUAUAAUACAACUGUGUCAUUACGCUGUUGUUCAAAUUAAACAUCUUUCAAAGAGUAAGUGUGGUGUGAGGAUGCUGCUGUAUGAUUUGGUAUUUUAAUAAUGCAAUUUUGGUUUGUUUGGGAUAUUUUACUUUACUAUAUUUCCCAAUGACAUGAAACAGAUGAAGAAGUGAUGGUAAAUGAAUUAAAUGUUGAUGGGCAAAAUGUAUAAAACGUUAUUAAUAAUUAAUUAUUAUCAAAAGGCACCACUGAAAAAACAGCCACCGUCCACACAGGCUGAAGCACCGGAGGAAGCCCGCCGUCCUCACACGCCACCAUUACGCAGCGUUGCCAGGCAACGCAGCCGCUGUUGACGUUCUCAUUCAGAGACCGACGGGGAGUUUUCUCUUCUGUGCGUGUCCGUGUGCGUGUGUGUAUCCAUCGUUUGAUGGAUACAGGUGGUGAAGAGGCCUCGCGUUGGAUUCUUCUGUGUGUGCGACAUCAUCUUUUCCCUCGCGGUCUUGUUUUAGUUCCCUCGUGUGACCGGAUCCUCAGUGAGGAGCAAACAGGACGCCAGGAGUUGCAUUUUAACAGUUUGUUUAUUUGGAAUAUUUGCUCUGCAUGAAGAAAUUUGUUUGAGCUUUUGUCCACUUCUCAGCUCAGCAUCGGUCCUCACAAGGACAGCGAAAAACAAAUGUGUGUGUUAAGUGUCUUUUUGUGCACUGAGGGACUGUGUCUUCUUAUUGCUCCGACAGGAAAUCCAUUCUGUCAGUCUCCUCCCUAAUUGUCAGACCACACACACACACACACACACACACACACAAGAUCCGCAACACACACCCAAACAAAAGCUCAGAGAAACAUCCGGCGCUAUUGUGUGCUCACACACACCAACGCACAUGCAGAGAGCUCUAAUCUGUGCACGUUGAGGGCAUCAGCGUCUCUCUGAUCGGUGAUCACGGCGACCACGCAUCAGAGCGGUGAUGCUGCUCAACACCAACACUGUAGUUACAAAUAUUCAGAUCAGUUUAUUAUGAGUGCAAAAUCGUGACAGAGGAACAUCCUGAGUGGUCUCCAUCAUUUCAGCCAUGAGCGCGGCGCCUCAGAGUGGAGUUCAUGCUUCGUUCCUCCUGAGGCCGGCGUGUUCUUUUGCCCUUUUUUUUGGUGUGUGACUCCAGCGCUUCACAUUUAAAACAUAAUCACAGUUGUGACGCAUCGAAUGCAAAGGGCUCUUUUCUCCUCUGAGAUUCAGCCGCACUCAGAAUAAACACACUGAUCAGAGGAACAAUUGUUUUUUCGUCAUUCUCCAAAGCACAAAGCAUACAUCAUGCAUUUGGGACAUAAAACAAUAAUAAUCAGGAGAUACAAAUCAUGCUACUUUAAUUCCUCUUUUUAAUUGUGCCACAAGAGAUGAACGGUGAAUAGCAGUUAAUCAAUGUGCCUGAGAGGGUUUGUUUUCAUGCCAUCUGCUCUUAAUAAUUACACUGACACUAUUCAUUAAAGUCAAUUUAACCUCUUU